ACUCCUACGGGAGGCAGCAGUAGGGAACCUUCCACAAUGGGCGCAAGCCUGAUGGAGCAACACCGCGUGAGUGAAGAAGGGUUUCGGCUCGUAAAGCUCUGUUGUUAAAGAAGAACACGUAUGAGAGUAACUGUUCAUACGUUGACGGUAUUUAACCAGAAAGUCACGGCUAACUACGUGCCAGCAGCCGCGGUAAUACGUAGGUGGCAAGCGUUAUCCGGAUUUAUUGGGCGUAAAGAGAGUGCAGGCGGUUUCUAAGUCUGAUGUGAAAGCCUUCGGCUUAACCGGAGAAGUGCAUCGGAAACUGGAUAACUUGAGUGCAGAAGAGGGUAGUGGAACUCCAUGUGUAGCGGUGGAAUGCGUAGAUAUAUGGAAGAACACCAGUGGCGAAGGCGGCUACCUGGUCUGCAACUGACGCUGAGACUCGAAAGCAUGGGUAGCGAACAGGAUUAGAUACCCCGUGGUAGGAUAGCG
rnacentral:rRNA from 1 species